rnacentral:lncRNA from 1 species
GUGCGGUGGUCUACGUUAAAUUACGACGGUGUGUCACGCUAAAGUACGAUGGUUGUUUGUUCGUUAAAGUACGAUGGUGUAUCACGCUGAAGUGCGAUGGUUUAAAAAGUCUUUUUGCAAAAGAUAUUAUGCUAAGGUAUAACAUAUGUGAUAUGCUUUAAAAGUUACCGGUAAGCUGAAGUGAUUGUUUCUAAAUAAACAAGC